UACAGAGGGUGCGAGCGUUAAUCGGAAUUACUGGGCGUAAAGCGUGCGUAGACGGUUAUUUAAGUCGGGUGUGAAAGCCCCGGGCUCAACCUGGGAAUUGCAUUCGAGACUGAAUAGCUAGGGUACGGUAGAGGGAAGCGGAAUUUCCGGUGUAGCGGUGAAAUGCGUAGAUAUCGGAAGGAACAUCAGUGGCGAAGGCGGCUUUCUGGCCUGCUCUUGACGCUGAGGCGCGAAAGCCAGGGGAGCAAACGGG
rnacentral:rRNA from 1 species